ACGGGAGGCAGCAGCUAAGAAUAUUCCGCAAUGGGGGAAACCCUGACGGAGCGACGCCGCGUGGAUGAUGAAGGCCGGAAGGUUGUAAAAUCCUUUUAUUACCGAGGAAUAAGCAUUUCAGGGAAUGGGAGUGCGGUGACUGUAGGUAAUGAAUAAGCAACGGCUAAUUACGUGCCAGCAGCCGCGGUAACACGUAAGUUGCGAGCGUUGUUCGGAAUUAUUGGGCGUAAAGGGCAUGUAGGCGGCCGCUCAAGUCUGGAGUGAAAUGCACGGGCUCAACCCGUGAACUGCUUUGGAAACUGGGGGGCUAGAGUCGCCGAGGCGGAGCCGGAAUUCCAGGUGUAGGGGUGAAAUCUGUAGAUAUCUGGAAGAACACCGAUGGCGAAGGCAGGCUUCGAGCGGACGACUGACGCUGAGGUGCGAAGGUGCGGGGAGCAAACAGGAUUAGAUACCCUGGUA
rnacentral:rRNA from 1 species